rnacentral:rRNA from 1 species
UGUAAGCGUAUACCAAAGUUGUUGCAGUUAAAACGCUCGUAGUCGGAAUUUGGCAGUUCCGGAUGUGUGCACGUCGUGUGCGCACUUCGCGGGGAUUGCUUUUGUGGUCUUGCGUAGGAUGAGGCACUUUUAUUAGUGAACGUCCUCACGCAACCACUUUUUACUGUGAGAAAAUCAGUGUGCUCAAAGCAGGCAUUUGCCGUGAAUGUAUUAGCAUGGAAUAAUAGAAUAGGACUUGGUUCUAUUUUGUUGGUUUGUUGGGACUGAGUAAUGAUUAAGAGGGACAGUUGGGGGCAUUUGUAUUUCGGUGCUAGAGGUGAAAUUCUUAGAUUACCGAAAGACAAACUGCUGCGAAAGCGUCUGCCAAGGAUGUUUUCAUUGA